GACAGAGGGUGCAAACGUUUGUUCGGAAUUACUGGGCGUAAAGCGCGUGUAGGCGGCUAAGUAAGUCGGGCGUGAAAUCCCACGGCUCAACCGUGGAAGUGCACUCGAAACUGCAUAGCUAGAGUCCUGGAGAGGAAGGUGGAAUGCUUGGUGUAGAGGUGAAAUUCGUAGAUAUCAAGCGGAACACCGGUGGCGAGGGCGGCCUUCUGGGCAGUAGCUGGACACUGAGGCGCGACAGCGUGGGGAGCAAACAGG
rnacentral:rRNA from 1 species